rnacentral:rRNA from 1 species
UACGAAGGGGGCUAGCGUUGUUCGGAAUUACUGGGCGUAAAGCGCACGUAGGCGGCUUUUUAAGUCAGGGGUGAAAUCCCGGGGCUCAACCCCGGAACUGCCCUUGAAACUGGAGAGCUAGAAUCUUGGAGAGGCGAGUGGAAUUCCGAGUGUAGAGGUGAAAUUCGUAGAUAUUCGGAAGAACACCAGUGGCGAAGGCGACUCGCUGGACAAGUAUUGACGCUGAGGUGCGAAAGCGUGGGGGAGCAAAACAGG